rnacentral:rRNA from 1 species
UAAUACAGAGGGUGCAAGCGUUAAUCGGAGUUACUGGGCGUAAAGGGCGCGUAGGCGGUUAUAUGAGUGUGAUGUGAAAGCCCCGGGCUUAACCUGGGAAGAGCAUUGCAAACGAUAUGACUGGAGUAUAUGAGAGGGUGGCGGAAUUUCCGGUGUAGCGGUGAAAUGCGUAGAGAUCGGAAGGAACGUCGAUGGCGAAGGCAGCCACCUGGCAUAAUACUGACGCUGAGGCGCGAAAGCGUGGGUAGCGAACAGGAUUAGAUACCCUGGUAGUCCACGCUGUAAACGAUGAGGACUAGAUGUUGGUGGGGGAACCCAUCGGUAUCGAAGCUAACGCGAUAAGUCUUCCGCCUGGGAAGUACGGCCGCAAGGUUG